rnacentral:rRNA from 1 species
UACGAGGGGAGCUAGCGUUAUUCGGAAUUACUGGGCGUAAAGCGCGCGUAGGCGGAUUGGAAAGUUGGGGGUGAAAUCCCGGGGCUCAACCUCGGAACUGCCUUCAAAACUCCCAGUCUUGAGUUCGAGAGAGGUGAGUGGAAUUCCGAGUGUAGAGGUGAAAUUCGUAGAUAUUCGGAGGAACACCAGUGGCGAAGGCGGCUCACUGGCUCGAUACUGACGCUGAGGUGCGAAAGCGUGGGGAGCAAACAGG